rnacentral:rRNA from 1 species
ACGGAAGGCAGCAGUGGGGAAUAUUGGGCAAUGGGCGAAAGCCUGACCCAGCAACGCCGCGUGAAGGAAGAAGGUCUUCGGAUUGUAAACUUCUUUUAUGAGGGACGAAGGACGUGACGGUACCCGAUGAAUAAGCCACGGCUAACUACGUGCCAGCAGCCGCGGUAAUACGUAGGUGGCAAGCGUUAUCCGGAUUUACUGGGUGUAAAGGGCGCGUAGGCGGGGAUGCAAGUCAGAUGUGAAAUCUAUGGGCUUAACCCAUAAACUGCAUUUGAAACUGUUUUUCUUGAGUGUCGGAGAGGUAGAUGGAAUUCCUAGUGUAGCGGUGAAAUGCGUAGAUAUUAGGAGGAACACCAGUGGCGAAAGCGAUCUACUGGACGAUAACUGACGCUGAGGCGCGAAAGCGUGGGGAGCAAACAGGAUUAGAUACCCUGGUA